AAAAGGGAACAAAAACCAAAAGUGAACAAGAAGGAAGAAGAAACAGCAGAGAAACAAAAGUCUAACGUUUGUUGGGAAAAAAGAAAAUAGAAAACUUAUAAGAAGAAAAUCUUAUUUUGAUAACUUCUCCCCAGUUAUCUCAUAAAAACACUCCCUAUUAACCCACUAAAACACAACUACUCAGCAGUCCAGUUUAAUUUAAACUCCACCACGCCA
rnacentral:lncRNA from 1 species